CCAGUAGUGGGGGACAACAUUCGGAAACGGAUGCUAAUACCGCAUACGCACUACGGUGGAAAGCGGGGGAUCUUCGGACCUCGCGCUAUUGGAUGAGCCCAAGUCGGAUUAGCUUGUUGGUGAGGUAACAGCUCACCAAGGCAACGAUCCGUAGCUGGUCUGAGAGGACGAUCAGCCACACUGGGACUGAGACACGGCCCAGACUCCUACGGGAGGCAGCAGUGGGGAAUAUUGGACAAUGGGCGCAAGUGAUCCAGCCAUGCCGCGUGAGUGACGAAGGCCUUAGGGUUGUAAAACUCUUUCAGCGGGGAAGAUAAUGACGGUACCCGCAGAAGAAGCCCCGGCUAACUCCGUGCCAGCAGCCGCGGUAAUACGGAGGGGGCUAGCGUUGUUCGGAAUCACUGGGCGUAAAGCGCGCGUAGGGGAUUAGUCAGUCAGAGGUGAAAUCCCAGGGCUCAACCCUGGAACUGCCUUUGAUACUGCUAGUCUUGAGUUCGAGAGAGGUAAGUGGAAUUCCGAGUGUAGAGGUGAAAUUCGUAGAUAUUCGGAGGAACACCAGUGGCGAAGGGGCUUACUGGCUCGAUACUGACGCUGAGGUGCGAAAGUGUGGGGAGCAAACAGGAUUAGAUACCCUGGUAGUCCGCACCGUAAACGAUGAAUGCCAGUCGUCGGGUAGCAUGCUAUUCGGUGACACACCUAACGGAUUAAGCAUUCCGCCUGGGGAGUACGGUCGCAAGAUUAAAACUCAAAGGAAUUGACGGGG
rnacentral:rRNA from 1 species